GACGAACGCUGGCGGCGUGCUUAACACAUGCAAGUCGAACGGAAAGGCCCGGCGCUUGUGGGGUGCUCGAGUGGCGAACGGGGGAGUAACACGUGAGUAACCUGCCCCUGACUGUGGGAUAACUUCAGGAAACUGGGGCUAAUACCGCGUACGAGCUCCUGCUGCAUGGGGUGGGUUGGAAAAUUUCGGCGUUUGGGGAUGGACUCGCGGGUUAUGAGCUGGUUGGUGGGGUAGGGGCUGACCAGGGCUUUGACGGGUAGCCGGCCUGAGAGGAUGAACGGCGACCUUGGGCCUGAGGUACGGACCAGAAUGCUACGCGACGCAGCAGGGGGGAAUCUUACGCAGUGAGCGCACGCCAGAUGCAGCAACGCCGCGAUCGGGAUGACCUGUUUCGGGUUGUAAACAACUUUGGCAUGUGACGAAGCGUGAGUGACGGUACUGGGUAAAGAAGCCCCGGCUAACUACGUG
rnacentral:rRNA from 1 species